rnacentral:rRNA from 1 species
GACGAACGCUGGCGGCGUGCUUAACACAUGCAAGUCGAACGAAGAGCGAUGGAAGCUUGCUUCUAUCAAUCUUAGUGGCGAACGGGUGAGUAACGCGUAAUCAACCUGCCCUUCAGAGGGGGACAACAGUUGGAAACGACUGCUAAUACCGCAUACGAUCUAAUCUCGGCAUCGAGGAUAGAUGAAAGGUGGCCUCUACAUGUAAGCUAUCACUGAAGGAGGGGAUUGCGUCUGAUUAGCUAGUUGGAGGGGUAACGGCCCACCAAGGCGAUGAUCAGUAGCCGGUCUGAGAGGAUGAACGGCCACAUUGGGACUGAGACACGGCCCAGACUCCUACGGGAGGCGGCAGUGGGGAAUCUUCCGCAAUGGACGAAAGUCUGACGGAGCAACGCCGCGUGAGUGAUGACGGCCUUCGGGUUGUAAAGCUCUGUUAAUCGGGACGAAAGGCCUUCUUGCGAAUAGUGAGAAGGAUUGACGGUACCGGAAUAGAAAGCCACGGCUAACUACGUG